CAGUCGCCACGGUAAUACGGAGGGUGCAAGCGUUAUCCGGAUUUAUUGGGUUUAAAGGGUCCGUAGGCGGACUUAUAAGUCAGUGGUGAAAGCCUGUCGCUUAACGAUAGAACUGCCAUUGAUACUGUAAGUCUUGAGUAUAUUUGAGGUAGCUGGAAUAAGUAGUGUAGCGGUGAAAUGCAUAGAUAUUACUUAGAACACCAAUUGCGAAGGCAGGUUACCAAGAUAUAACUGACGCUGAGGGACGAAAGCGUGGGUAGCGAACAGGAUUAGAGACCCGCGUAGUCCCUGUCUCUUAUAC
rnacentral:rRNA from 1 species